CUUACCAAACAACUAAGAGUCGCUCUCUAGAAUUCUAGAGAGAGACUUUUAUCUCUUCUCUUUGGUUUUUUUAAGGCACCAAGCUUUUUUUCCUGUUAAAUUUGUGGCUCUCCUCUGUCCCAUGUGGGCAGGAGAGAGGCUUCUCUACUACCCAGAGAAUGGGUUCACCCUCUCCACCUCUGAGUGAUUGUAAAUAGCUUUUUGCUUUAGCAUUUUUGUGACAGAUCUGUGUUUAGGGAGAGGGUCUCUUUGAUUGUCAAGGUUGUUAGAGUGCUAGAUUCGCAGAAGCUUUGGCUGGUGUGGUUGCUUAAUUCUGUUAAUAGUUGUAUAAAGUGGUUGUUUGAAUGGUUGCAUGAUGCUUUAAGAGAGGGGUGAUGUGCUUUCUGUUUGUGAUGAUGGUGCCUCAUGGGUCUGUAAGUCAGCUUGUUCUCUAACACUGACCCUUUAAAGCUACCAAAAUGCUAUAUAUGAGCCCAGCCAUCAUGUCUUCUUUUGGCAAUCUUCUCUAGCUAUUUACUUGGAGUCAAACUGGUGUUUAUGCUUGGCUUGGGUUGGUAUGGCUGUUAUGGUCUCAAGAAGUUCACUGGGACUUGAAUUGUUAGUUAUUCUCAUUCGUCCGGACUUUCCUCUUUGGUGUUUCAUGUUGCAAAAAUGGCUUCCCUGACAAUGGUAACUCUAGUGUAUAGUAGCACUGUUCUUUGUAUGUCGUAAUUUGUGGCUUACCUUACCGAGUCAAACACCCAGCUUCCCUAGGGUUAGGUUGGAGAUGAUCCUGACCUUAGUUUAUGGUUGAAUGUUUAUUUGUGAAUCUUGGGCUGGGUUAUUUUGUCUUGGUAGCUGAGUUUUAUUCGCUUAGCCCUUAUAAUUAGGCCUUUAGACCUUGUUUUACUACAUUAAAUCAAUGAACAUUUAUCUUUCUGACAAAAAAAAAAAAAAAUACUUGUACUAAAAGCAAGAGAUGCCUCUAGUCAUACUAGAGGAAAUGUUACUUUUUUUUUUGCUCAUUUAGGCAAAAUCACCAUGAUUUGAGAAAUAUUUCCUAAACCACACAGAUAUGGUAAUUAUUAUAUUUUUUUUUUGCAUACAUUUUUGGCAAAAAAACUCAUUUAUUUUGCUCAGAAGACUUUUGACAAUGACUUUAAUCACCACUACUGCAAAUUCUGCUUUGCAAGUUUUGACAUUCACCCUGUUUGAAAUGCCAAUUUCCUACUAAUAUUUAAGGGUUAGCAAGCAUAAAUCAGUUUUAAUUGGAAAAACUAAAUCAAACAUUUACAAUUGCAAGUUUUGGUUAAUUCGAUUAGAUUUUAUUAUUAUAUGUGGAAACGUCAAUUUUUUAUUCGGUUUAUUUAUUUUAGCUAUAAAAAUACUUAAUUUAAAGAAUUAAUGGUCUUUUCUUUAGCCCAACCCAAAAGUCCAAAUUGAAUAAAUUCAUCAAUGACCUAACCCAUGUUUAAAGCCCAGCCUACUAUGAUCUUCUUCUUCUAGGCUUUUUGAGGAUUCUCUCUUACACGCUUGUGGGUUGUAAUUUGUGUUCUUCCUUUGGUAGUGGCACUAUUUGCAUAGAUUGGUUUAUGAGUGUUCAUUUUUCGUCAAAUUUUGAAUUCUAUCUGCAUAAAUCUGUUUUUGAGUUGAAUGUCUGUGAGACUGAGUCUUGUUAGUGUGUUUGUGUGUUUAAAUAAGUGCUUUAUUGUCAUAAUCCAUAUUAACGGGACUGGCAUUGUUGCAGCUGUCGUGGCUUACCUUUAAGUAUCUGAAUUUCUAAACUCAGCUGCAAUCACUAAUUCAGCCACCAAAAUUUUUUAGAGAGAGAAAAUGUGAUGCAAUUUGAGAUAUGUUCAUCACAGUUUAUCUUGGUUUUUAGUUUUAUUUCUGAGAAAUGCUGAAAUUGUAAAUGAAAUGAAAUCCAUUCAUUCAGUUUUACAGCCCAACACAAUGUGUAACUAUAUGCACUUUAGUCGUUUCUGUGCAUUCUGAAAUGUUAUAUAAUGUUAUAUAGCUUAGAUGCUAUUGAGAAAUUGUAAGUAAUUUUCAUGGGAAUUUAGUUUAAUGAAUUUGGGGUUGCACUGGCAUUUUGGUUAUAAUUCUAGCUUACUUACCUUUGUUGCCUGUCAUCAUAUGGUGCAUUCUGUAAUGUAAAGAAUAUAACAAUCGAAGACUGAAAACACGGAUAUUAAAAAAGUACCGACAAAUUAGGUCCAAAGGAGGCACAAAUCGACUAACCAAAUCGAAAUAUUUUGAUUCAAUUGAGUUUAUCUAUUACUACGAUUUAGUUCAAUUUAUAACAUUUGUUGUGUUGAUUUUUCGAUUAUUUCAAUUGAUUCGCUUCUGAGUGUAUUUAAGGAGGAAAGGGACUUCAGAAUCUCUUUAUUUUAAUUGCAGAUAUGGGAUAAAAGCCAGUUUGCGUGGAGUCAUACAAAUCUCUCUUUCUGUUUUUGCUAUAUUCUCUUUUGGUUCUUCUCU
rnacentral:misc_RNA from 1 species